rnacentral:rRNA from 1 species
GGGGGGGGGGGGGGGGGGGGGGGGGGGGGGGAGGGCGGGGGGGGGGGGGGGGGGGGGGGGCCGGGGGGGCGAGCGGGGGACGGGUGAGGAAGGCGGGGGGACGUGCCCCAAAGGGGGGGAUAACUGCCCGGAAGGGUAGCUAAUACCGCAGAGUAUCUUCGGGUCAAAGGAGUUGUCCGCUUUGGGAGCGGCGCGCGUCGGACUAGGUAGGUGGUGGGGUAAUGGCCCACCAAGCCGACGAUCCGUAGCUGGUCUGGGAGGAUGACCAGCCAGACUGGAACUGAGACACGGUCCAGACUCCUACGGGAGGCAGCAGUGAGGAAUCUUCCACAAUGGGCGAAAGCCUGAUGGAGCAACGCCGCGUGCAGGACGAAGGCCUUCGGGUUGUAAACUGCUUUUAUAAGUGAGGAAUAUGACGGUAACUUAUGAAUAAGGAUCGGCUAACUACGUG